rnacentral:rRNA from 1 species
UACGUAGGGUGCGAGCGUUGUCCGGAAUUAUUGGGCGUAAAGCGCACGUAGGCGGCUUUGCAAGUCCCAUGUGAAAUCCCACGGCUUAACCGUGGAAGUGCAUGGGAAACUGCAGAGCUUGAGUACUUAAGAGGAUCGCGGAAUUCCCGGUGUAGAGGUGAAAUUCGUAGAUAUCGGGAGGAACACCAGUGGCGAAGGCGGCGAUCUGGGAAGAUACUGACGCUGAGGUGCGAAAGCGUGGGGAGCGAACAGG